UUUAUAAGCCUGUUGUGUGAAUAAAUCAGGGUAGUUCCUGUUUUAACCCUCAAAGUGAAGUGUCGUCUCAUUAUUGGGGGAAGGAUUUAUUGUAUGCUGUUCCAGUUUGACUGCUAGGAGAGUAAACCUAUUCGCAUGGUUCCUAUUCAACUGUCUACAGCAUUCAAAUGCUUGAGAGGAUUCAUAUGCUUCUCCGGUUCGGUGGUUGUGGUGUCUGCUGCAGUGCUUGGAGUCCUCAGGAAGCGCUAGGAGUAUCCUUUAAC